GUGUUCACUGUAAUAGCACAAUACUAAAUCAGAAGACUGCAGAGAUGGUUAGUGCAGCCCCUGUGCAAGGAUGACACUCAAAUUUGUGGAGCAUCCCACAUAUAU